rnacentral:lncRNA from 1 species
CAUUGGGGUCUACCACUACUAAUAUGUUGGUCCCGUAUUCGGAGAAGGAUUCCAUUAACACAUACCCAUCACAGAAGUGAGGCCCAGGACAAUUCAUUGCAGAAUCUGUCCGGUUUAAGGGAGAUAACUCAAUUUGAUAACAAUUAUUUGUAUCGACAAGGACGAUAAUACAUCCUCGCUCCACAUGGGGUUACUAGAUAAUUUGACAAUUGCGAUAAGACGCACAUUUAAGGGGUUGAACACCCGCUGGUCUGUAAGAUAACUUCAGUGAAAACCAAUACCAGAUGUUAUCGCUAAAAUAAUUUUGAUUCAUGUUUUCUAAUUUUUGGUUCAAUUUGUAAAAUUAAUUGAAGGCCGGAGUUCCGAUCUUUGUUGAAACCGGGGACUACUGAAUUAGUUUCUUAGUCCUAGUUGAAACAUUAAAACGGCGCAAGAUGUUUGACCCAAAUUGGUAAAUGAAAAAUGCAUAUAAAUAAAUUAUAUUUUCUUAUUCAAAAUGGAUUGAUCAUCAAACUGACUGAAAUGUAUUUGAAAUUUUAGUUCAAGUAACACAAUUGGCCGAAAUGUCGUUGUCUUACGAGUCUUUUUUUUUUUUAUGUGUAUAUAUAUAACAGGUACCUUGAGAAUUCGGAAUGUCUGUCGUUUAAUUCAAUUUUAAAAUUCAUUGACAGUUAAUAAUUAUUAAAUGUACACUCACUUUGAGCAUGGAAGUAAUAUUACUUCUAUGCUUUGAGUGAGGAUAACAGCACAAUUCCGCGAGUUCUGAUUUGUUUUUCGUAAAUUCUUUUGUUAUAAAUGAGGCCGUUAGUUUUCUCAAUUAAAUAAUUCCAUAUUUUUUUUAAUGUUGGGGCCUUUUAUAUCAGACUAUACGUACGGUAUGUUUUUUUCCUCAAUGUUGAAGACCGUACGGUUGUCUAUAGUUGGAUACGACCACCUAUACCAAGUCAGGAAUAUGACAGUUGUUACAUGUAUCCAUUCGUUUGAUGUGUUUUAUCAUUUGAUAUUGCCAUUUGAUUACGGACUUUUCGUUUUGAAUUUUCCUCGGAGUUCAGUAUUUUUGUGAUUUUACUUUUUUUGUUUGAACUUUGGUGGACAGUUGUCUUAUUGGCAAUCGUAUCACAUUUUUUUUUGUUUUCAUAUGUAUGUUCGAUGUGUACUGGUAGAUAACUUAUCUUCAAAUCGGUACUUUAGAUCUUUUGUAUUCUGUAGAUAAGUUUCAUGCCCAAUGUACAGGGAAGCAUUUUCCUACUAAUUUUAAGAGUU